UGGCUCAGGACGAACGCUGGCGGCGCGCCUAACACAUGCAAGUCGAGCGAGAACCAGGGCUUCGGCUCUGGGGAAAGCGGCGAACGGGUGAGUAACACGUGGGUAACCUGCCCUCGGCACCGGGAUAGCCCGGGGAAACCCGGAUUAAUACCGGACAGCCUCACGAGCCCUCGGGCGAGUGAGAAAAGGUGGCUUCGGCUUCCGGCUGAGGAUGGGCCCGCGGCCGAUUAGCUUGUUGGUGAGGUAAUGGCUCACCAAGGCUCCGAUCGGUAGCUGGUCUGAGAGGACGAUCAGCCACACUGGGACUGAGACACGGCCCAGACUCCUACGGGAGGCAGCAGUGGGGAAUCUUGCGCAAUGGGCGAAAGCCUGACGCAGCGACGCCGCGUGCGGGAAGAAGGCCUUCGGGUUGUAAACCGCUUUCAGGAGGGACGAGGCCACUCAGGUUAAUAGCCGAGAGGGUGACGGUACCUCCAGAAGAAGCCCCGGCUAACUACGUGCCAGCAGCCGCGGUAAUACGUAGGGGGCUAGCGUUGUCCGGAUUUAUUGGGCGUAAAGAGCGCGUAGGCGGCCGUGUAAGUCCGACGUGAAAUCUGGAGGCUCAACCUCCAGCGGUCGUUGGAAACUACACGGCUAGAGUCCGGAAGAGGAGAGUGGAAUUCCUGGUGUAGCGGUGAAAUGCGCAGAUAUCAGGAAGAACACCGAUGGCGAAAGCAGCUCUCUGGGACGGUACUGACGCUGAGGCGCGAAAGCGUGGGGAGCGAACAGGAUUAGAUACCCUGGUAGUCCACGCCGUAAACGAUGGGUGCUAGGUGUGGGCGGUGUCGACUCCGCCCGUGCCGAAGCUAACGCAUUAAGCACCCCGCCUGGGGAGUACGGCCGCAAGGCUAAAACUCAAAGG
rnacentral:rRNA from 1 species